CAGCCGCCGCGGGAAAACGUAGGGUGCAAGCGUUGUCCGGAAUUAUUGGGCGUAAAGAGCUCGUAGGCGGUUUGUCGCGUCUGCUGUGAAAUCUGGGGGCUCAACCCCCAGCCUGCAGUGGGUACGGGCAGACUAGAGUGCGGUAGGGGAGAUUGGAGUUCCUGGUGUAGCGGUGGAAUGCGCAGAUAUCAGGAGGAACACCGAUGGCGAAGGCAGAUCUCUGGUCUGUAACUGACGCUGAGGAGCGAAAGCGUGGGGAGCGAACAGGAUUAGAUACCCCAGUAGUCCCUGUCUCUUAUAC
rnacentral:rRNA from 1 species